UGCUUGUAUGACAUGGAUUGCGUGUGUAGACCAUUUAUAAAAUAUCUUUGUCGCUUCCCUCGUGCAUGUACAUGCCCAGAGUUAAAAGAAUAUGUAACACCUGAGGGUGGGAUAAAAAAGUGAAAUAUGUUCACAUGCUAUGAUGUUUAGAUGCAACCUAGAAGAGUGGAUGAGAGAAGAGGAAAGCUGUGGGCAAGGGCUAUCCCAGUCUGUUAGGUGUGAUGCUGUGUGAUGAAUGGCUCUUGAUGCUCAACGUGCUGGAAGCCUCGGCAGCUCCAUCUGACAGUCACAGCCACAAACAACAGCAGCACACACUUCUUGUUUAAAGGAUGAGAGAAUACUUUUUGCUGCUGUUUCAGCUUUGGGUGGGAUGGAGCCCUGCUUUCCUGGACGUGGCUAAACACCUGCCUGCAGAUGGGAAGGAGUGGAUGAAGUCCUUCAUUUGCUUUGCUUAGGAUACUGAAGAUUUGCUAGGAUGGCACAUCAGACUGAAUGGACUUCUGGUCAAAGAGCACAUGUGCAUUAGUAAAGCUGUCAAUCAAUUCUAAGCCUAUUGGUAGGCCCAAGUGUAAGACCUUCUAUAGGACAAUGUAGGAAAUAGUAUGUGGAAAUCACUAUGGAUGGAACAAGAUAAAAAUGAUGACAGUAAUUUCGCACAAAUGAGAAAAAAUAAAGGCCACUUAUGCCAGAAUAAUUUAUUAUGUUAGGAAGUUAGGUAACUGGGACACUUUAUGGACACAGAUCAGAAGAGUUAAGUCUGUUCAAAAGGCAUCUGAUCAACAUUUUAUAAUGUACUUCAAUUAAGAUAAAAGAGUACUCUGAUAUGUUACCACCUUAAAUAAGGUAUUUAUUGAUAUGUGUAUGCCAAUAAUAAAAAUAAAAGACCACCAUGGA